rnacentral:tRNA from 1 species
UCCCUGGAGGACUAGUGGUUAAGCCUCGGCGCUCUCACCGCUGGGGCUAGGGUUCGAUUCCCGGCCAGGGAA